GCUGGAAUGGUCUAGUUGGUUAUGACGACUGCCUAACACGCAGUAGGUCCCGAGUUCGAUUCUCGGUUCCAGUA
rfam:Perkinsus marinus ATCC 50983 gcontig_1104296342936, whole genome shotgun sequence.